GGACAUCUUCCAUGAUAGGAAAUAUACAUACAUGGAUGACAUAAUAGUCAAGUCCAAAAUGGGGAACAAUUCACAAGUCCUACGAUUAGUCUUUGAGAGGUUUAGAAAAGAUCAAUUUAGGUCAAUUUUUGAUCAUCUAAAUGAAGUCCCUACGAUGAGUAGUAGUUUUUGCUUAAAAGGAAAUUCACCGGAAAAGGGGGCUGCCUCCAAGAAUAGGUAUGCCGUCAUCGUCGUUGCCGUCUUCUUUUUUUUUUUAAUAUGAUAAGAAAAGAGGAAAAAAAUCUAUCCAAAGUUAUUAAGAAAAAAAGAUGGUACCAAAGAGAAAAUUUGAAGAAAAGCCUCCAACAUCCCAUCAAUAUUUGGAAUUCAAAUUCAAAUUUCUCCAAAUUCAAAUUUCUCCAAUGUUCAUUUGAAAUUGAAACCUUCCUAUGUAAUCAAAAUAUUUUGAAAUUUAAAAUCUCCAUCUUACAACCACAACGAGUAGAAUAUGGUUGACCAUCCAAUCGGUCAUCAUCGAAAGGAGAUAGAUAAGGGGCAUUCGGCCAAGCCUCGUCUAGCUAGCCACCAACAUUGGGCCAUGGUUGGAUCAGCUAAUGAUGACCUCAUCAAGAUCUCGAUGGCAUCGAGAGGAAGGGACUAAGAGAAGAGAUCCGGCGAUCAUCCAACACUUGGAAAGGAAGAGAGAGGAAGGGAGAAACCAUUUUUUACCCUUGGGUUAGAAGGGCAAGAAAGAAAAAAGAGGAAAAAAGAAACACCCAUGGGGUUGAAGUAGAAGGGAGAGAAGGGGGGUCUAGCCAACCAUACUGGAGGGAACAGCUCCAAAAAGAAAAAAAAAAAGAGUUUGGCGAUUAACUUAUUGCUAAGGAUGGCCGAUGACAACUCUGGUAGAGAGGGAGAUGUUUGGCCAGGGAUGGGCUGGCCAACACCUAGGUGUCAGAGAGGGAGAAAGAUGAAGAAAAAUCUAGAGCAGUGUGCAUGCUAGAACAAUAAAAAUUUUUAUGCAUCUUCUAGAUGUCAUCUCAUGAGAUCAUCCCUAUCAUGUUUUUAAGAUUUAUAUGCAGCAAAUAAAUUUAUAAAACAUAAGCAUGAAGAUUUCAUCUUCAUCUUUGCGCGGG
rnacentral:lncRNA from 1 species